AGAGUUUGAUCCUGGCUCAGGACGAACGCUGGCGGCGUGCUUAACACAUGCAAGUCGAGCGACGCGCCUUCGGGUGACGGAGCGGCGAACGGGUGAGUAACACGUGGGCAACCUGCCCCUAGCUCUGGGAUAACUCCGGGAAACCGGGGCUAAUACCGGAUACGACCUCGGAGGGCAUCUUCUGGGGUGGAAAGUUCUUCGGCUAGGGAUGGGCCCGCGGCCUAUCAGCUUGUUGGUGGGGUCACGGCCCACCAAGGCGACGACGGGUCGCUGGUCUGUGAGGAUGACCAGCCAGACUGGGACUGCGACACGGCCCAGACACCUACGGGUGGCAGCAGCAAGGAAUCUUCGGCAAUGGGCGCAAGCCUGACCGAGCAACGCCGCGUGGAGGACGACGGCCUUCGGGUUGUAAACUCCUUUUCUGUGGGAUGAUACGGACAGUACCGCAGGAAUAAGCCCCGGCUAACUCUGUGCCAGCAGCCGCGGUAAUACAGAGGGGGCAAGCGUUGUCCGGACUUACUGGGCGUACAGCGCGCGCAGGUGGUCGGCUAAGUUCGUGGUGACAGCGUGCGGCUCAACCGCACACGGUCCAUGGAGACUGGUCGACUAGAGGCAUCGAGAGGGAUACGGAAUACCCGGUGGAGCGGUGAAAUGCGUAGAGAUCGGGUGGAACACCAGCGGCGAAGGCGGUAUCCUGGCGAUGACCUGACACUGAGGCGCGACAGCGUGGGGAGCAAACGGGAUUAGAUACCCCCGUAGUCC
rnacentral:rRNA from 1 species